CCCCAGAGAAGUCCAAGGAUGGAGGUGGAGGGAAGAAAAGCUCCAAUACAUUUCCUCCUUCCUGAAGAAAUACUCUGCAAGAUAAAGUUGUCUUUGAUGCCAGAAAGAUAAAGAAACCUCUCAUAAAAGCUUUGCUGGAGUCCCAUCAUUUACAUACAAAGACAUAAAUUGAUUUAGAAGAAGCUCUUUCAUACUUGUUGGCAUUUCAAUAUGAUGCUUGUAAUGAUUCUUGUAAUAAUAAAAACAUUUUGUUAAGUCUCCA